rnacentral:tRNA from 1 species
GAGGAUGUAGCUCAGUGGUAGAGCACAUACUUAGCAUGCACGAAGUCCUGGGUUCAAUGCCCAGUACCUCCA